rnacentral:lncRNA from 1 species
UAAAGAAAAAAUUGUAAAGAAGAGAUAUCCUUAUAAAUAUUUCUGUUUUUAUCAAAUUGAAUUGUAUGAUUGUUUGAAAUCUUCACUGAAAUAAAACCAAUUCCAAAAGAUAUUUUUAUAAGUAAAAAUAUGCAAUUACGAAAAUACUUUGCCAAAAAAGAUGGAAAACAAAAUAUUUGCCAAUAUCUUAUAUAUUUUUGUAAGUAAAAAUAUGCAAUUAAGAAAAAACUUUGCCAAAAUAAAAGGGAAAAAAUCACCAGUUUCAUUGCGUCAUGUUUGCUUUAUUUUGUAAAACUCAGAUCUGAAAACAAUAAGAAGGUUGUGAACUUGUUCAUUCCUAAUUCAUUACUCAUUCUGUCAGCUGUGCCAUACAUUGUAUAUAGUCAUAUAUAUAUAUAUAUCACAUGAUAAAUUUUAAUAAUGUAUAUUUUGGAAAGGACAUUGGUUAUUUGUUACUAUUUUUAUACAAUGUAUAACUUUUAGAUAUAUUUUCACUUUCAAUAAUUUCAUGAAAUUUAAUCAACGAUAUUUCAAUUUUCUAUAAGGUUUGAGAUUCAUAUUUUAAGCUUGAGUAUACUAAUGUAAUGAUACUUAAAUCAACGUUUUUUGUUGCCAACAGUAGUAAGGUGGCAAGAUAUAAGUUAAAUUCAAAAUAAACUUAUUGAUAAUAUUCUUUUUUAAGAUCAGGUGUAUAUAAUUAUCUUUACUUACAUACCAACUUAUUCAGAAAUACUAUUUGGAACCUGUUUAUAUGGUUUAACAGGAAUAAUUUUCAUCUUUAACAUAUUUUUUUGAUAAAAUGACUUUAAUUCAUAGUUAUAUAAGCCUUCCUCUAACGGGUUAUAACAAUGAAAACUUUUUUAAAACUUAUAUUCAAAACAUGCAUAAUUUCACCUAAGGACACAUGUACAUAUUCAUUAUUAAGACAGAAUAUUAAUAAUUUUGUACAAAUUAAUA